CAAUUAACUCUAUUUCUCUGUUUCAAUUACCAAUUAACUCUAUUUCUCUGUUUUUCUGUGAUUACUAUCAUUACCACAUGAGAGAUGAGAAUAAUAAAGAAAAGAGAGGAAGAAAAGAAAAGGAGAUGGUGCACUAUCAUUAUUGUUGCACUAUCUCCUCAAAUUGCAUUUCCAUUGUCACCAAAGAGUACUUCAACAACUUUAGUUUAACUCUCUUAUGCUUUCCACUCAUAAAUUUCCAUUCCCUCUUAACACAUUUCCUUUUGGUUCAAAAAUGGUGUUUAGCAAUUUUAGCAACAUGUGGUGAUUAUUGUCAUGUUGUAGAAUAUAGGAGAAUCAUUCAAAGUAAAUGAAAAAAAAGAAGCAAUCACUUUGGCAAUAAUUCAACAUAUUAGUGCUCUUAUGAUGCUAGUGUGUUUAAGCAAUAAUUCAACGUAUUAGUGCUCUCUAUACAAGGUUCAUGAACAUAGUACAUAGUAGUGAUUUUCCAACACUACUUCAACCUUUUCUUUUUCCUCAUUCCACAAAUGGUGUUAUUUUUUUUUACAAACAAACAUGCAUUUGGGGAAUGAAGCUAUUUCUUAAUUAAUUUCAACUUUGCCCUUGUGUUUUCUUAUAAAUGAGGACAUCUCAAGCUCUCAAAUGCAUACCAUUCACAUUAAUCUCACUCAUAAGAGUUUCUUUGCUUAAGUGAUUAAGUUUCAAGUGUGUGCAAUUACUUCAGUAUGAGGAUGUCUAUUAUUAAACUCGCUUUUCUAUUAGUUUUCAUCUUUGCACCAGAUAUGUGCCAAAAAUUAGA
rnacentral:lncRNA from 1 species